rnacentral:lncRNA from 1 species
CAACCCCCCAGGCCCCCUCCUCAGCCCCCUCAGGCUCCUCGCUGCCCGCCUACUUUAUCAAGGGCUCCAUCAUCCAGCUGGCGGACGGGGAGCUGAAGCAUGUGGAGGACCUGAAGACGGACGACUUCAUCCAGAGCGCUGAGAUAAGCAGCGAGCUGAAGAUAGACUCGUCCACCGUAGAGCGCAUCGACGACAGCCACACACCCAACUUUGCCAUCGUACAGUUCUCCGUGGGUGAGCACCGCGCUCAGGUGAGUGUGGAGGUGCAGGUAGAGUAUCCCUUCUUCGUAUUCGGCCAGGGCUGGUCGUCGUGCUGCCCGGACCGGACCACUCAGCUGUUAGAACUACCCUGCACAAAGCUCUCAGUGGGGGACGUCUGCAUCUCCCUCACCCUGAAGAACCUGAGGAAUGGCUCACUGAAGAAGACCCAGCAGACCCAGAACCAGGCCAUGGAAAUCACUACUAGCUGCAACAUGGGCUCCAUCCACGGGCCCCUCAAACCCUCCAGGUCUUCCCGGGGUGGAAGGGGGUCAGCCAGGCACGGGGAGCAGGAGAACGGGGUGGGCCAUAGAGGCUCCAGGGGAAGUGGGGGAAUAGUGGUUGAAGGUGUUCAGUUUGCCUCAGAGAAUGGGGAACUGAGGUUCGGCGUCAGGGGGGAGGCCAACCUGAAAGGAGGCCAGCCUGGAGAUUCAGAAUCCAGCAGGGGUGCCGCCAAGCCGGCGAGCCGCAAGAGGAGGUGCCCCAGUUGACUCUACCCAAACCUUCCUUUAUCACUCAGGAGGUAAAAAUCAGCAUCGAAGGCAGGUCAAAUAUAGGCAAGUAGUGAAGGCAGGAGAUUAAAACAAGACUGUUAAUUCAAAUAGGGAUUGGAGGAGAGAUGGAAAAAAGAAAGGAUGCCCUCAUAAAUGUUUUAUUUUAACUACUUUGUUUUAGAUUUGAUUCUUGUUUCUAUUUUUUAUCCGGAUUACUGUAGGCUAAAUUUGACCCAUGUUAUCAUCUUGCAUUAAGUCCAUGUUAAAAUAACAUUGUAGUAGAUGCGUUCGGCAUUACGUAAACAAGCAAAUGGGGCAAUUGCUUUGGGUUUUUUCAACAAAUCUCUGGGCAAGGGGUUUUGUGAAGUAUAGUACAUGUUUUAUUGGUGGGUUUGUGGCAUGCAAGAGCGCUGCUUGAUACCUCUCUGGUCAUUUGAUGGCUGCAGGUGGACAACUGAAUGAAAUAUGUAGUUAGCUUUCCUAUAGGGCCUAGGACAUGACUAAGCUGCCAUAAUGUAGACCGGUGAGUGAGAUCACUUCCUGGUAGAGGGCACUACUGACGAGAGUGUUCAGGAUGUCUGGACGGAAUCACUCUCCACGCCACCCGUUGCCAUGGUGGCAGACUGAGUUGAUAUGAUGUCAACUCUCCCGAGCGACUCAAGACGUCUUUAGAUAAAACACAGUAAAAAAGGACUUUAACAAAUUGAAACCCUCAUGAAUAGAAGAUGAUGUAUAAUAACACCUUUAUGUGUCUCUGACAGAAGGUUAGAACUACACAUCUAAUCCUAAACAAGGGGUCACCAGAUGCCUCGACACUCAUCCACCUAGACCACUCAGCUAGGUGAUGUCACCCAGCAGGGCCAGAGCAGCCAGGCGAGGUCACCAGGCCGCGCCACUGGGCCACCAUAAAGAGAGAACUCUUCCUUCCUUUGUUAUGUUUGGGUGACAGUGGAGUCAUUCUGUUAUUAUUCUUGAAACGUUCUGAGUUGAUAAUGAUAUAUUUAAAUGAGUGUCUAAAACUUUGAGGUCAGGGGUCACAUACUGUAUGUAUAGUUUGAUCCAGGGCGGUUAAGUAAAGUGUUUAUGUUAUUCCUUUAUACCCUACAUACAUUUACAAUCACACUGAGUUGAUGAACUAUGGGAUUAUUCAAAGGAAGAUGAUUUUUACUUGGUGCAACCUUUUCCUUUUCAUUCUAAUGGCAGAAAGAAAGAGCUUAUGUCUCAAAUGGUCCCCUAUUCCCUAUAUAGUGCACUGCUUUUACUAAGGCUCUAUCCUUAUGGGCCCUAGUCAAAAGUAGUGCACAAUAUAGGGAAUAGGGGCCAUUUGGAACGCAGUCAGAGAGUCACUGUUGAGUCUUUAGAGAGAGACAGCAUGUUGUCUUGAAGCACUUGCAUUUGCACACCUGUCACACUCACCAACUGUUGAUAACUCAACUAUUAUUAUUGUUAUUAUUAUUGUUAUUGUUAUUAUUGGUCUCUCUUCAUUAACACAGUACUGUAUGUUUUUGUUAUUUUACCUUGAGGAAGAAGUAGAACUCUGUGACAGCAGCACUUUAGAACAGUGAAGGGGUCAUCAUGAUUUCAUAGGGUAAUGAUGAUGUCAUGGGGUCACACAGUCACUUGACCUUUGACAGGGAUGAAUGUGACAGGUGAUGGAGCGAGUGCCAGUUAGGAGAGGGAAAGAAAGAGAGAAAGAAAACAGAGGAAUAUAGAGGAUAAUAUAAUAGCAGAAGAGUGUUUUUUUUUGUUAAUGCACUUUCCUCCAAUCAGAACAUGCUCUUCAAAAUAUGGAUGUGGUCAAAAAAUGACACAUAUCUGCCUUUUCAAGGAAAUCAAAAUGUCAAUGAAGUCCAAAAGGAUGGGAAAGGAUGGGAAUAGGCAGGAACUAUGUACAGGUAUGUUGUGGACGAGACUGAGAGAGAGUUAUAGACGCUCUGGACACAGCAUUUUUGAGGUGUGUCUUAUACAUAAUGUAUGUACGGGAAGUGUGCAUGAAUGUAGGUAUGUGUAAGUACACACACACCAGAGGAGGCUGGUGGGGGUAGUUAUAGGAGGACAUGUUCAUUGUAAUGGCUGGAAUGGAAUAGAUGGAACAGAGUCAAACACACUUUUUCCAGGUGUUUGAUGUGUUUGGUACCAUUGCAUUGAUUCCAUUCCAGCCAUUACAAUAAGCCCGUCCUCCUAUAGCUCCUCCCACCAGCCUCCUCUGACACACACACACACACACAAACACACAUGGAAUACAGUACCUACCCAGACAGGCCUCUCCUGAAGGUGAGGGAGGACUGUAUGUAUUUCAUACUCGUUGAUAAACGUUUAAUAUGUAUCCAAAUACUUUUGUUGCAUAGAUGUUUCCCCUUGAUGAUAUAGAGAAGCCAAUAUAUUUGAGUAGGAAACUAAGACGAUAGUGAUUCUCAGUGGUCUGUGCAGCGUGUGUUUGUUUGUGUGUGUGCGUGUGUGUGUGUGUGUUUGUAUAUGUGUAUAGAAAUAUCAUAUAAGUUAAUUUGAUAUAUCCAAUGUUAAAUGUCCAGGGUUCCUGUUUUUGGAGUUCUACUUAAGAGAAUCUUGCAAUUUGCACAUCUGGAGAGGUAGUCAGUUGGGUGACAUGACUUUUUGGCUGUGUCCAAAAUGUCGCCCUUUUCCCUAUAUAGUGCACUGACCAAAAGUAGUGCACUAUAUAGGGAAUAGAAUGCCAUUUCAGAUACAACUAUGUUUUCAGCCAGGUUGCACACACAAACACACACACUCACACAAACACACAGUGAGCUGAAACCAUAGAGAUAGGUAGAGGACUCAUCUUUGUAUCUGUGCCAUUAUAGUGUUUGUGGCAGCCUCAAUGGCGCUGUCCAUGCUAUCUCCAUUUUAAAGUAGUCAAUUUUCAUCUUCACUAUUGGCUGGUCCCUCCUGAUGACCCGGUUGGACAUGACUCCAACAGGGUCACCAGGAGGGAUCAUCCAAUGAAGUUGGACGUCCCACCCAGUUGACUACAUUAAAAUGUUGGAAUCCCUCAAUGGUGCUACCCAUGCUAAUACGACCUUUUGGCCACUAGAGGCCUCUAUCAUUCUCUAUGGCUGAAACCCCAUUUUACUGAAAUGUAGCAGUUACUUAACAAGUGCGCUCCCUGCUGAUUGGCUCCGACAAUCUUGACUCUGCUCCUCAUUGGACAACCACACUGUCAAUCACAUCUGUGGCAUGUCCAUGUCCCGCCCACUUGUUGGGGGUUUGGCUGAGAGACAAUGUGGAGGUGUGUUGGUCGGUCUUGGAGUCGGGGGCGGGGCAACCAGCAGGUACACCUGUUGAGCUCUCUGAUUGGACUAGAUUUUCAGGUGUGUUUAGGUGGUAUAAGAUGUGGCAGAGUAGGAGAAGUUUGUAGAAGUUGCUUCUAGCCACUGAUGUAGGUUCAGAUGUUUAGUUCAUCCCCCUAAAGGUUAGUGUUAGGUGUGGGUGUAGGGGAAUCUGAUCCUAGAUCUGUGGGUAAGAGGAACUCCUACCUGGAGGGCGUGUGCGGGUGAUUGCCGUGGUGAUGGACAGAUGGUUGUGUGACUUGGACGGAUGGAUGGAUGGAUGGAUGGAUGGUAAAGUCAGAUGGAUGGUGGUGGUGGUGGCGGGGAGUGAGUAGACAGCCUGUAUAAGAUUUGAAAAUGCUUUAUUGUUUUUAAUAAAACAGGUUUCUCAGAUCAACACCACAGCAGUGCAUCUCCAUUUUUUAUUUUAUAACAUUCUUUGACUAUGUCUUCUAGAGCUAAUUUCUCUCUGUGUGUGUGUGUGUGUGUGUGUGUGUGUGUGUGUGUGUGUGUGUGUGUGUGUGUGUGUGUGUGUGUGUGUGUGUGUGUGUGCGUGUGUGCGUGUGUGUUUCUAAGAAUGUGUGAGUCUUUUGUAAGGACAGGAUGGAUAUAACGUUUUUUGCUUCUAGAGCUUCACCUUGGUAAAAAUAGCGUAUAUUUAAACCAUUACAUAUAUGGUUUUGCAUUCAUACACAUUGAACCAAAAUGAGACCCUAGUUAAGUCUUGUUCUAACUGACUAACCCCUACCUAAAUGGGAAAAUACAGUAAAAUAACGACACACACCUACACCCCUCACCAAUCAAACCCUUUCAGGUAAAGUUUUCUAGUGCAAAUGCAAAGCAUCAUGGCAGUGGUGUGGCGGCUGCUUUCCAAUAGUUAGACAACAAGCAUCUAGCCAGCAUGUGUGUAACUAUGGAUUUGAGGGGUGAAGCUGUGUCUCUAGAGAUGGGGGGUGAAGCUGUGUCUCUAGAGAUGGGGGGUGAAGCUGUGUCUCUAGAGAUGGGGGGUGAAGCUGUGUCUCUAGAGAUGGGGGUGAAGCUGUGUCUCUAGAGAUGGGGGGUGAAGCUGUGUCUCUAGAGAUGGGGGGUGAAGCUGUGUCUCUAGAGAUGGGGGGUGAAGCUGUGUCUCUAGAGAUGGGGGGUGAAGCUGUGUCUCUAGAGAUGGGGGGUGAAGCUGUGUCUCCAGAGAUGGGGGGUGAAGCUGUGUUUCUAGAGAUGGGAGGUGAAGCUGUGUCUAGAGAGAUGGGCGGUGAAGCUGUGUCUCUAGAGAUGGGGGGUGAAGCUGUGUCUCUAGAGAUGGGGGGUGAAGCUGUGUCUCUAGAGAUGGGGGGUGAAGCUGUGUCUCUAGAGAUGGGGGGUGAAGCUGUGUCUCUAGAGAUGGGGGGUGAAGCUGUGUCUCUAGAGAUGGGAGGUGAAGCUGUGUCUCUAGAGAUGGGGGGUGAAGCUGUGUCUCUAGAGAUGGGGGGUGAAGCUGUGUCUCUAGAGAUGGGGGGUGAAGCUGUGUCUCUAGAGAUGGGGGGUGAAGCUGUGUCUCGAGAUGGGGGGUGAAGCUGUGUCUCUAGAGAUGGGGGGUGAAGCUGUGUCUCUAGAGAUGGGGGGUGAAGCUGUGUCUAGAGAGAUGGGGGUGAAGCUGUGUCUCUAGAGAUGGGGGGUGAAGCUGUGUCUCUAGAGAUGGGGGGUGAAGCUGUGUCUCUAGAGAUGGG